AUGAAAUUUUACUCCUCUGAGAAAGAGGGCGGUAACGCGAGACCAAAUGCAAUGAUGAGAGAUUUCCGUAAUUGUUUGGGAGAAUGUGGGCUGGCAAAUAUGGGUUAUAUUGGUGAUCUCUUCACCUUGAGGAGAGGCGAAGUUAGGGAGAGACUUGAUCGGGCAGUUUGUAAUGUGGAAUGGGCAAAUAAAUUUCCACGUGCUGCAGUCAUAAACGAAGAGCAUGUGCACUCUGACCAUCGCCCACUAGUUUUGGACACAGAUUAUUAUGAUGGAAAUAUAUUCAAUCAAUCACAGGGUCGAACGAAACAAUUCGAAGCCAGAUGGCUAAAAGAAGAGACAGUGGGAGAAAUUGUCCGUACAGCCUGGGAUAAAGCGAAUAGUUUAGGUAUUGGACCAAAUCUUGCUCAACGUACCAGGGCGGUGAAGGCGGAUUUGCAUAUUUGGGAUCAUGACACUCUUAAAGGACCAAGAAAAAGAAUUAAUAAACUUAAAAAAGAGUUGGAAAAAUUGCGAAGGGGUCCUAUUAAUGUGGAUACACAAGCGCGAUAA
rnacentral:rRNA from 1 species